rnacentral:rRNA from 1 species
GGAGUUAGCCGGUGCUUCUUCUGCGAGUAACGUCACAGAUGUAAGGUAUUAACUUACACCCUUUCCUCCUCGCUGAAAGUGCUUUACAACCCGAAGGCCUUCUUCACACACGCGGCAUGGCUGCAUCAGGGUUUCCCCCAUUGUGCAAUAUUCCCCACUGCUGCCUCCCGUAGGAGUCUGGGCCGUGUCUCAGUCCCAGUGUGGCUGAUCAUCCUCUCAGACCAGCUAGGGAUCGUCGCCUAGGUGAGCCUUUACCUCACCUACUAGCUAAUCCCACCUGGGCUUAUCCAUCAGCGCAAGGCCCGAAGGUCCCCUGCUUUCCCCCGUAGGGCGUAUGCGGUAUUAGCAGUCGUUUCCAACUGUUAUCCCCCACAAAUGGGCAAAUUCCCAGGCAUUACUCACCCGUCCGCCGCUCGUCAUCUUCAAAGCAAGCUUUUGAAUGUUACCGCUCGACUUGCAUGUGUUAGGCCUGCCGCCAGCGUUCAAUCUGAGCCAUAGCACACUGANACGUAGACGGCGGUGCGACGACGGCGACUAG